rnacentral:SRP_RNA from 1 species
GGGGUGCAAUAGCACAUGCCUGUUGCCUCAAAUACUUGGAAGGCUAAUGUGGGAGGAUCACUUGAGCCCAGAAAUCCUGGGCUAUAGUACACUAUGCCUAUUGGAUGUCCACACAGAGUUUGGCAUCAAUAUGGUGACCUCCUGGGAGUGGGGACCCACAAGGACCACUCUUGCCUAAGAAGAGUGAACUGGUCUACAUCAGAAACAGAGCAGGUCAAAACUCCUAUGCUGAUCAGUAGUGGGAUAAACACCUGUGAAUAGCCAUUGCACUCCAGUCUGGGCAACAUAGCAAGACCCCAUCUCU